AUGGACGGAGUUCGAGCCCCGCCCGUCCCGCUCGCCGUGGCGGUCCCUCCUCGUCGCCACCCCUCUCCUCGACUCGGCGGGACGAGGGGAGCAGGGGCAGCAGCCAGCCAUGCCUCGUCCGUCUCGCAUGGUGGCCCAAAUACGGCUUCCUCGUGCUCUGUCGGCGCCCGUCGACCUCGAUCCAGCUGGGGCAGGAGGAGCUCGAGCCGAGGAGCGUGGCCUCGAUCCGGAAUCGACGAAAGGAGGGGAGCAGCAGCCAUCACGCCUCGUCACAAAUCAUUCCCCGUCUCUUCUGUUUGCACCUCCCCCCGCUGCCGCCGGGGACACCUCUGCAUCAUCGUCGACGGAAUGAAGGGAGCAACGGCCACAACCGCCUGCUGCAGCGGUGCUGAGCGGCUGCGGACCUACAGCGAAACGGUGCUGGAUCCAUAUGUACUCCUCUGCCAGUCUUCUUCACGCCGCAAUUUACUCCUCCUUGCUGCACCUGAUGCUGGAGCCCAGAAGCCAGAUGCCACCGUCGAUGACGACUCCUACUACACUGGAGGUGCCUACUACUACGUGCAGGCCGCUGACGACGACCAGGAGUAG
rnacentral:rRNA from 1 species